rnacentral:rRNA from 1 species
AUUGAACGCUGGCGGCAUGCUUUACACAUGCAAGUCGAACGGCAGCGCGGGGCAACCUGGCGGCGAGUGGCGAACGGGUGAGUAAUACAUCGGAACGUACCCAGAGGUGGGGGAUAACGUAGCGAAAGUUACGCUAAUACCGCAUACGUUCUACGGAAGAAAGUGGGGGACCUUCGGGCCUCAUGCUUUUGGAGCGGCCGAUGUCUGAUUAGCUAGUUGGUAGGGUAAAGGCCUACCAAGGCGACGAUCGGUAGCUGGUCUGAGAGGACGACCAGCCACACUGGGACUGAGACACGGCCCAGACUCCUACGGGAGGCAGCAGUGGGGAAUUUUGGACAAUGGGCGCAAGCCUGAUCCAGCAAUGCCGCGUGAGUGAAGAAGGCCUUCGGGUUGUAAAGCUCUUUUGUCAGGGAAGAAACGGCUGAGGAUAAUACCUUCGGCUAAUGACGGUACCUGAAGAAUAAGCACCGGCUAACUACGUGCCAGCCGCCGCGGUAAAAC